rnacentral:lncRNA from 1 species
GGCAUCUAAUGAUCGUUAACUUGGGAGAAAAAUGACAUCUUCCUAUUCAGCAAAAAAAUAAAAUAAAAAACCAAUUUUUGAAAAAUAAAAUGGAAAAACAAUUUUUUCCCCAUUAGCUUAAAUAAAAAGGGGGGGAAAAAAACAAAAACCGAUUUCUAUAAUCUGAAAAAACCAUGGACGUCUUCAACAAUCAGGAAUCAAGACUCAGUCAACCUCUAAAUCGAUUACCCAAAUUCUUCUUCCAUAAUCCAUAAUCCCAAAUCUGUAAGUUUUUCCUACCUGUUGAACCCUGGAUUACAAAGAAGAGGACAAUGCAUAAAAAUGCUUCUCCAACUUUACACACUCCGUCCGCAAACACAAGUGUUGAUUAUAACCAAUUUCAAACUCAGUUGUAGGCACACACUACUAAUCAAAUUCAAAGCUAUGAUUACAACAUAAUAGUCAAUACAUAGGAUUCAGACUAACAUUACAAAAACCAUAAUUAAUACAUAAGAUUCAAUUCUUCAACAGAAUGGCCGGAUUACAAUGAGGACGACAAUGCCCAAAAACGCAAUUUUGUAUAUUUUUCAUCAAUUUGCAGAAUUUCUGGUGUUCUCAGAUGCACAAUUGCUUCACAAUAACAGUACCUUAUUGACCCAAUAUCCCCAAAAACUUCAGAUAUUGCCGCCACAAAGCUAUAACAACGAGAUGGCUGCAGAAGAAAAAAUUAGGCGGUCCGUAGAGAGGGGAGGAAUUUUUCAGCUUUAACACAACACCCCUGGUUGUGUAGGUUCAACCGUGUGUGCAAGACAGACUUCGUGCUUGGAAGAAGACGUAGUUCGUCAAUCGAUUUAGGGAAAAUCAGACUCAACCAAAGCUUUGAAGUACAGAAAUCGUUUGUCCCCCCGUUUUAUUUAAGCUAAAGGGACAAAAUCGUCUGUCAGACACCCGAUUUUGCUAAAUAGGCAGAAGACCACAUUUUUCUCCCAAGUUAACGGGUGGCAUAUUUUAUCAGCCACGUCAGCGACCAACAAACAGAUUUUUGGCAGUGGUAGAUGGAGAGCAAACGGGCAAAGUUGAGUGAGUACUCUGAAGCAAAAUGAAGUUUGAUGAGAAGUCCGUGACUAUGGUAUAAGUUCA